GGGGCUGUAGUUCAGUUGGUAGAACGCGUCGUUCGCAAUGACGAGGCCAGGGGUUCAACUCCCCUCAGCUCCA
rnacentral:tRNA from 6 species